rnacentral:lncRNA from 10 species
UGGUGAACAUGCAUGAGCUAUAUAAAGCACUUAGCAAGGUGCCUGACACAAGGUGACCUUAGCUGUUACUAAUUUUAAUGGCUGUAUAUUAUGAUUAUCACCAAGUGACAGACGAGUGGGAAGGAAGAGGAAAACAUUCUAGAAGACAGCACAGCCUGUGCAAAGGCAUGGGGGCACCUCUUUCCUUAGACAUGCAGAGCUACAAUCUACAAGAUCUGACCCUGGCCUGGAGGAGGUGGAGGCAAUAUCCGGAGAGAGAGCGAGAGAUUCCUAUAGAAUACAAGACAAGACUAUCACAAUGAGCUGAAAUAUUGUGUCUGUGAAAGUAAUGAGAAGCACAGUGGAGACAAGUUUCUGAAGGAUGGAAGAGGCUGGAGGCUGUCUGGUGGGAGAAGGUUCCCAGACACGUGAGAGACCCAGCAACAGGUAAGAGAAUAAGUUGGUAAAGAAGAGACACAGUGGAAGGGUGAUUUAUUUAAAUGUAAAAUGCUAUCUGUUAGGUAUUAUAAAAAAAAUCUAUACUAUAUCCCUUAUGAAAUCCUCAGUGAAAACUCAGUUUCAUUUUGUUUAAUGAGGAUAAGUGCUAAGGGCUUUUCUAAGGGUUGGGUGUGAUGACCACAAGGGCUACUUCCCAGGAGAAAGUUAUGUUGCAUUUCUGUGCUGGGCCCAAGGUAGUGAUCACCAGAUGGGGGUUGUAUACCUUCAGUUCUCCCUUCAAUUUCCAGCAAUCUCCCCUGGAGCCCCUCACAGCCUGUCAUCAGCCAAGUGAAUUACUUCCUUCCCUAUCAGUGCUGACACAUUAACUUUGGGGAAAUCUCAGUGCAGGAAUCUCUAGCCAAAUCUUAAGGAACACCACGGCUGGCAAAACUGCAACUGAUAAAAUAAAUUUCAUAGCAAAUAUAGGAUUAGGGGGAAAACAAUGAAAGUGGCAUUGAAUGUAUGAAUGUCAAAAAUAAAAAUUGGCAUUGAAUACAUGAGUGUCAAAAAUAAAUAAAAAUUGUACAAAAGCUCCAUUCCCUCAAAGCAAAUUUCUCAUCUUUCUGAAUCUGCUCAGGUAAGUAAAUGUGUACCUGCAUCACAGUGUUUAGCUGUUCGGGUGAUGUUGCUGCUGGACGUUAAGAAGUUCACAUAUCUGAAAUUAAAUAUCUUUAUAACUUGAAUUGCCUCGUUUCAUUCUUUCUUUGGAUUGAGCAGUGGCAUGGGUUAGUGCUUAAGUGCCCAGAUACCUAAGUUUUAAGACAGUUUGAAGCUCAGCUCUGCAAUGUAUGAUUCCCAUGAUCCAAGAAGGAUGAAAUAACCUCUCCUUACAUCAUCUGUAAAUGCAGAUUAAAAUCAUCCUAACCUGACAGAGGACCCAAUGAAUCAAUGUAAGUAAAGGGUUUAGUCCAGUUGCUGGUACAGGGGAAGCACAGUGUGUUUACUCUCUUCUUGCUUCAUUUUCAGAAGAUAGACAGGGUGUUAGUGCCGCCACUGGCCUGUCACAAGUCAUCUCACUGGUCAACAGUUAUUUUGGGGGCCUGAUGUCCUUCCACUCACAAAGAGGAUGGUGUGUAAACAAUCUCUUUUGGCGUGACUCCAGGACUGGUCCAGUGGCUUUUAACACACAAAACCCUCCUCUUUAGUGAGGAAGGAAUCAGCCCAAGACUCAGGAUUGGCAAAUUGUGAGUUUUGAUACUGAUAUAUAACUCAUUCUUAAUUAUUCAUCCACAUGCGUUGUAGUGCCAUCUCUGGAAACUGACAACCCCUGAGAUUCUAAUAGGAAAGAUUUCUAGUGCCAGGAAGAGUAAUAGCCCUAAAUUAACAUGACCUAAGGACACGAGCAAUUUCAUAAUGUAAAUGAUGAUAACCUGUAAAAUUAUGGUUUUUAUUUUCUUCUACUUUUACUGUAAUAAAUAACAAUCUGGUAAAGAGGAGUAAAGAAGACACAUACAAGGCUGCCAAUAUUUUAAACAUUUUUAGGAGGAGAAAUCUAAAAGAAGAAAGGAAAUGAGAUAAGACACAUACAUUGCAUGGAAAUGAUAGAAAAAUUUAUUUAGAAAAUAAUCUCUUUUUUUACAUUUUAGCAUUUAAAAAAAUUUUUUAUACAUAUGCCCACAGGCAUAGUUUUUACAAAAACAUAAAUCCUGAACUUAGCAUGCAUACCAUUUUUAGUACAGUCUUUUAUUCUCUUUUUCACGUAUCUUCUUUCUGCACCUCAGCCAAUAAGAUUCACAUACUCGCUCAAUGCUUGUUAAAAGCAUUCUGGAAAUAUUUUUAUAUAUUUCUCCAUGAUUAUAAUGUCAUGAUUUUAUACAUAUAUAGAUUUUUUUGGCCUUCGCUCUUUUAAAAAAAUAUUUUAUAUUUGCUUUUUUGAACUUUUGGUUCCUCAAAUAAUAAAAUAAAAUCUUAGUUAACUGGACUAACAUUAAUUUAUUAUUAUUUUUUGAAUGCUGCAUGGUGUGAAUGUACAAUAAUCAACUAUUCCUCUAUACAAAACCAUUCAUUUGGUUUACAGGAUUUCCCAUUUUUAUCCUUUUCCUAGAUUGUGCCCCCAAAUGGUUAUGUCUUAAUUUAUAUUUGUUGCUUUAAAGGAAUACCUGAGGAAGGCCCGGUAAUUUGUUUUGAAAAAGGUUUAUUUGGCUUAUGGUCCUGCAGGUUGUGCAGGAAGCAUGGCACCAGCGUCUGCUUUGGGUGAGGACCUCCAGCUGCUUCUACUUAUGGUGGAAGGCAAAAGAAAACUGGCUGUGCAGAGAUCAUAUGGUGAGAGAGGAAGCAGGAAAGGAGAGGUGCCAGGUGCUUUUUAACAACCAGCUCUUGUGGGAGCUAAUAGAGUGAGAACUCACUCGCCAUCCCCCAUCCUAAGGGAGGGCAUUAAUCUAUUAAUCUAUUCAUAAGGGAUUUGCCCCCCGUGACCCCAAAACCUCCCAUUAAUUCCCAUCUCCAAUAUUGGGGAUCAAAUUUCAACCUAAGAUUUGGAGGGGUAAAUAAACCAAAUUAUAACAGUUUAUUUCUUGAUUUUGUUUUUGUUUAUCCUUGUAAAAUAAGCUAGUAGCUUACAUUUAUAUUUUCCUGGCUACCAAUGAGCUUUCACAUAUUUUCAUAAGUUUAUUGGCUUUUGGG